AAAAGCAGCCAACAAGUGCUCAGCAUGUGUGGGAAACGGUGGUAUGACCGAAAGAGAGGAGAGAGGUAUAUACAUCUGGCCUGAGAAACAGUGGUGUUACAGAAAGAGGGGAGAGAGGUAUAUACAUCUGGCCUGAGAAACAGUGGUGUUACAGAAAGAGGGGAGAGAGGUAUAUACAUCUGGCCUGAGAAACAGUGGUGUUACAGAAAGAGAGGAGAGAGGUAUAUACAUCUGGCCUGAGAAACAGUGGUGUUACAGAAAGAGAGGAGAGAGGUAUAUACAUCUGGCCUGAGAAACAGUGGUGUUACAGAAAGAGAGGAGAGAGGUAUAUACAUCUGGCCUGAGAAACAGUGGUGUUACAGAAAGAGAGGAGAGAGGUAUAUACAUCUGGCCUGAGAAACAGUGGUGUUACAGAAAGAGAGGAGAGAGGUAUAUACAUCUGGCCUGAGAAACAGUGGUGUUACAGAAAGAGAGGAGAGAGGUAUAUACAUCUGGCCUGAGAAACAGUGGUGUUACAGAAAGAGAGGAGAGAGGUAUAUACAUCUGGCCUGAGAAACAGUGGUGUUACAGAAAGAGAGGAGAGAGGUAUAUACAUCUGGCCUGAGAAACAGUGGUGUUACAGAAAGAGAGGAGAGAGGUAUAUACAUCUGGCCUGAGAAACAGUGGUGUUACAGAAAGAGAGGAGAGAGGUAUAUACAUCUGGCCUGAGAAACAGUGGUGUUACAGAAAGAGAGGAGAGAGGUAUAUACAUCUGGCCUGAGAAACAGUGGUGUUACAGAAAGAGAGGAGAGAGGUAUAUACAUCUGGCCUGAGAAACAGUGGUGUUACAGAAAGAGAGGAGAGAGGUAUAUACAUCUGGCCUGAGAAACUGUGGUGUUACAGAAAGAGAG